CCUCAAGCACGGCAUCGCUAAACCACCUGGGCCCCCCGGCCACAAAAUGGCGCCCACGCCGUGAGGGUGCAGCGGCUAUGAUGGGACUGAGGGGUUCGACGCCUCAAUUCCCGAUGGAGUCAGCGGGUCUUGCAGGAGCAACAGGCGGCUUAGAAUGGCUCCUUCUCGCGGGGGAGCAGCCGGGAGGAGCUUGGCGGCUCUCCCCAGCGUUUGGUGCUGUUUCAAUGAACGAGAAUAUCCAGGAAUUAAGGAAAUCUGUUUCAGUCUCAUUGGCAGAGCAAACAGAUGGAAACGCAGUUGGAAAGAGAUGCACUUCAGGACAGCAGACAGAAGGAAUUGCAGAGCCAAGAGAAUCUACAAACACAGUUAAAAAAUAGUCCUGGAGAGCUGGAAGCUGCCAGCCAGCAGCAGGAUGGGGUGCUGAGCGAGGCUGACAGCCAAAAUGAGCGUCUGACAAAGGUGGUGCACAGCCUGGAGGAAUUACUUCUGGAAUUAUGUGGCAUCCUAAUGGACUGCAGAGACAGCAGGGGCAGGAAGCUCAGUGAGCAUGGGGACAUGACCAGCCUGAGCACAGCAUUUCGUGGUGUCCUGCAGGACCUGGACUCACAGGUGUCACACCUCAAAGGAAAGCUGGUCCUGAGAAAAAGCAAGAACCCCAAAUUUGGUGCCUUCACAUCAAGUCUGUCACCUGGAAUCCACAGUUUGUCAGCUCCAUUCCCAGUUAGGAGGAGUGAAAAGGAUCUAUGAGACCAAGGUUGAAGACCUUGAGAAGCAGUUGCAUGUGGCUCAUCUUGAGGCAGCAGAAGCUCAGACAGACCAGACACAACAUGGCCAGGAACCUGCAAACCUGAAUGACCGGAUUCAUCAGUUGUUGACUGAACUCCAUAAAAAAGAGAGAACUAAGCCUAGAAAAAGAGCAGAACAAGCGUUUUUGGGAUCAGAACACAGAGAACAGCAUCACCUUGGAGCAGCUCAGGAGGCAGCUGGACAACAGAAAGAUGGAAAAGGCACUGAAGGAAAUGAGGAUGGAGUGUUGCAGACAAAUGGAGUGCCAGAGUGCAAAGGAUGAGAAAGAAGCCAGAACACAUGGAAUGAAGGCCAGGCUGAGCCAGUUGGAGCUGGAAAAAGUUCAGCUGGUUACUGAAUGACACAAAACUGGAAAAGGAUGAGCUCCUGCAGGAGCUCCAGGCUGGCCAGAGGGAGCUAGCUGGCCCUGCAGAGGCAUUUGAAGAGGAAUUAUCAGGGUGAAAUCAAGGAAAUGGAAAAUACUGCAAACAGACUGAAAAUGCAGAGCAGCCCAGACUGCUCUGAAGACUAUGGAGGGAUUUGUUGGCAAUGCUCUGGAAGCUGCAGCAAGAGUGCAGAAGCAGAUUAGACAGAUGCACUGCAGAGCAAGAUUAAAUUCUUGGAAGAGGAGAUGGCAAACACAGCUAAGGAGGAGCAUUACCUCAGAGAAGAAAAGAGUAAAACUAAGUCAAAAAUUGAGCUGUAUUAGAGCAGAAAAUACCAGUAUUAUACCAGUAUUGCUGGGGACCUGGAGAUCCUGAGAUCACAAGACAAACAGCUGAAAGAAAAACUAUCAGAACUGGAGAUAGCCCUUGAUAAGAAGCCUUCCAAGCUGGAAGUUUUGAAACAUCUAAAGAGGAUUCUUCAAGAAUUAACAAGUUCAGACAGUGCCAUUCCCUCCAUGGAUCUGAGCAGCCAUGGUGGGAGAAAAUCCCCUUUAACAGUCAUGAGGAAUGCAGUAUAUGGAUGGGCUUUCUGGAGGAAUCAAAAAAUGCUGCUGGUUUCCUUCUGAGUACUGGAUGGUCAGUACCUUUUAAAUUGUGAUGACAUGAGUUUUGUUAUCUAGAAGAAGUAUGAAGAUGUGGCUUUGAGCAGCAGGGUUUG